rnacentral:rRNA from 1 species
GACAGAGGGGGCAAGCGUUGCUCGGAAUCACUGGGCGUAAAGCGCGCGUAGGCGGUUACUCAAGUCGGAUGUGAAAGCCCUCGGCUUAACUGAGGAAGUGCACCCGAAACUGAGUAGCUAGAGUACUAAAGAGGGUCGCGGAAUUCCCGGUGUAGAGGUGAAAUUCGUAGAUAUCGGGAGGAACACCGGUGGCGAAGGCGGCGACCUGGGUAGAUACUGACGCUGAGGCGCGAAAGCGUGGGGAGCAAACAGG